UACGGAGGGUGCAAGCGUUAAUCGGAAUUACUGGGCGUAAAGCGCACGUAGGUGGUUUGGUAAGUCGAGUGUGAAAUCCCCGGGCUCAACCUGGGCACUGCAUUCGAGACUGCCAAGCUAGAGUCUGGUAGAGGGUAGUGGAAUUCCCGGUGUAGCGGUGAAAUGCGUAGAUAUCGGGAGGAACAUCAGUGGCGAAGGCGGCUACCUGGACUGAGACUGACACUGAGGUGCGAAAGCGUGGGGAGCAAACAGG
rnacentral:rRNA from 1 species